rnacentral:tRNA from 1 species
GGUCCUAUGGUGCAAUGGGAGCACACUGGACUCUGAAUCCAGCGAUCCGAGUUCAAAUCUCGGUGGGACCU